UCCUCAGAGGCCGUCCCACUCUCCCGGCCCUGACCGGUCCCCCAGGCAGCGGGCGGGCCGACCCCGACCGCUCUGGGGGCCUGGAGAGAAGGCGGCCCCCACGGGCCAGAGGCAGCAGGGUGGAGGGCGUGCCUUGCCUUCCUGUUCCUCCCACUUGGUGGACCAGAGCACGGCCUGCACCCCGUCCCCCGCAAGGGGUCUGUGAUUUCCUGGCCACUGUGAGCAUGUGUCUGGCUUUUGGGACGCUCACGGAUGACUCUGCACUUCCGCUUGGUCCGCAGCCCACGGCCCCUUCCUCCACCCUCCCUCCCUCCUCCUUGCCCUCAGGGAGGUUCACCGCGCAGCCUGGCCAAAGGCACAGUGCGGACACGGAGACGCACCGUGAGCAGAGCCGCCGUCACGUCACGGACCUCAUGGCCCAGCAGGGGCGUGAAUGACACGAAGCGCUCUGGAGGGACAGAGUAGUUUUUGAUUUCUCCCCCAGAAGGAAGGGAGCCUCGGUCGGCAGACUGGCUGUGCUCACCCAGUGAUUUGAAAGGACGGCACCUGCUCUGACUGUCCUGGAAGCGUCCGUGUGACUCUGAACCACCCUGGGCUCCACCUAGCUGCCUGCAGGCCACCGCCCCUCCCUCGAAAGGCCAGGACCCCGGCUCUGGAAGCCACCUGGCUUCCGUCCAGAGCCCCUCUGGUGUCUCCCUGUGGCCACUCGUCCCCUCCACAGUGGUCUUGGCGGCUUGUUCCCUCUCUGCCUCCCGUCUGGAUGGAGUAAGUGUCACGGGCUCGGGAGGGAGCAACGCUUGUGCCGGGGGACCACGGGCCAGGACACCCCUCCGUGAGC